rnacentral:lncRNA from 1 species
UUUUACUCCCAAAAACUCUCAAAACCUUUUAUUUUCCCUCAAAAUUUUUACUCCCUCCCACUUUUCCCCUAAAACUUUUAUUCCCUUCCCAUCUCACCUCCCAUCUAUCCCAAACCCUCCCCCCUCUAAUUUUUUUUAAUAUUUUCCCUCCAAAAUUUUACUCCCCCUAUUUACUUUCCCUCAAACUUUUAUUCCCCAAAACUUUUUAUUUUUCCCCUAAACUUUUACUUCUCACCCUUUACUCUCAAAUAAAAAAUCAAAAU